rnacentral:rRNA from 1 species
UACGGAGGGGACUAGCGUUGUUCGGAAUUACUGGGCGUAAAGCGUGCGCAGGCGGCUUCUCAAGUCAGGGGUGAAAGCCCAGAGCUCAACUCUGGAAUUGCCUUUGAGACUGAGUGGCUUGAGUACGAGAGAGGUGAGUGGAAUUCCCAGUGUAGAGGUGAAAUUCGUAGAUAUUGGGAAGAACACCGGUGGCGAAGGCGGCUCACUGGCUCGUAACUGACGCUCAUGCACGACAGCGUGGGGAUCAAACAGG